rnacentral:rRNA from 1 species
CCUACGGGGGGCUGCAGUGGGGGAUAUUGCACAAUGGGGGAAACCCUGAUGCAGCGACGCCGCGUGUGGGAAGACGGUCCUCUGGAUUGUAAACCACUGUCCCCAGGGACGAAGUUGACGGUACCUGGUGAGGAAGCUCCGGCUAACUACGUGCCAGCAGCCGCGGUAAUACGUAGGGAGCAAGCGUUGUCCGGAAUUACUGGGUGUAAAGGGAGCGUAGGCGGGAUGGCAAGUUGGGUGUUAAAUCUACCGGCUCAACUGGGAGUCGCACUCAAAACUGCUAUUCUUGAGUGAAGUAGAGGCAGGCGGAAUUCCUAGUGUAGCGGUGAAAUGCGUAGAUAUUAGGAGGAACACCAGUGGCGAAGGCGGCCUGCUGGGCUUUUACUGACGCUGAGGCUCGAAAGUGUGGGGAGCAAACAGGAUUAGAUACCCGAGUAGUC